ACGAACGCUGGCGGCGCGCCUAACACAUGCAAGUCGAACGGAGUCAAGAGGAGCUUGCUUUUCUUGACUUAGUGGCGAACGGGUGAGUAACGCGUGAGUAACCUGCCCUGGAGUGGGGGACAACAGUUGGAAACGACUGCUAAUACCGCAUAAGCCCACGGAUCCGCAUGGAUCUGCGGGAAAAGGAUUUAUUCGCUUCAGGAUGGACUCGCGUCCAAUUAGCUAGUUGGUGAGGUAACGGCCCACCAAGGCGACGAUUGGUAGCCGGACUGAGAGGUUGAACGGCCACAUUGGGACUGAGACACGGCCCAGACUCCUACGGGAGGCAGCAGUGGGGGAUAUUGCACAAUGGGGGAAACCCUGAUGCAGCGACGCCGCGUGGAGGAAGAAGGUUUUCGGAUUGUAAACUCCUGUCGUUAGGGACGAUAAUGACGGUACCUAACAAGGAAGCACCGGCUAACUACGU
rnacentral:rRNA from 1 species